GAUGAAGAACGUAGCGAAAUGCGAUAAGUAGUGUGAAUUGCAGAAUUCAGUGAAUCAUCGAAUCUUUGAACGCACAUUGCGCCCUUUGGUAUUCCAAAGAGCAUGCCUGUUCGAGCGUCAUUUGUACCCUCAAGCUUUGCUUGGUGUUGGGCGUCUUGUCUCUAGCUUUGCUGGAGACUCGCCUUAAAGUAAUUGGCAGCCGGCCUACUGGUUUCGGAGCGCAGCACAAGUCGCACUCUCUAUCAGCAAAGGUCUAGCAUCCAUUAAGCCUUUUUUUCAACUUUUGACCUCGGAUCAGGUAGGGAUACCCGCUGAACUUAAGCAUAUCAAUAAGCGGAGGA
rnacentral:misc_RNA from 1 species